UUGCAGGAUUGUUACAUAGGUAUACACAUGCCAAGGUGAUUUGCUGCCUCCAUCCCCCCCACCUCCCCGCCACCUACUUUUUUAGUAGUUUUUAAUUAGGGUAUGGGAGGGGUAGGGAGGUUUUCUAUAAACUGUAUCAUUUUCUGCUGAGGGUGGAGUGUCCCAUCCUUUUAAUCAAGAUGAUUAUGAUUUUGACUAAUAAAAAAGACUUU